rnacentral:rRNA from 1 species
UACAGAGGGUGCGAGCGUUAAUCGGAAUUACUGGGCGUAAAGCGCACGUAGGCGGCUUGGUAUGUCGGGUGUGAAAUCCCCGGGCUCAACCUGGGAACUGCAUCCGAAACUGCCUUGCUAGAGUAUGGGAGAGGGAAGUGGAAUUUCCGGUGUAGUGGUGAAAUGCGUAGAUAUCGGAAGGAACAUCAGUGGCGAAGGCGACUUCCUGGACCAAUACUGACGCUCAGGUGCGAAAGCGUGGGGAGCAAACAGG